rnacentral:rRNA from 1 species
CCCGGUCCCAUUCCGAACCCGGUCGUUACGGCUUCCAGCGCCGAUGGUACUGCACCCGAGGGGGUGUGGGAGAGCAGGACACCGCCAAAC